rnacentral:rRNA from 1 species
GGGUUGUGAGGUUAAGCGACUAAGCGUACACGGUGGAUGCCCUGGCAGUCAGAGGCGAUGAAGGACGUGCUAAUCUGCGAUAAGCGUCGGUAAGGUGAUAUGAACCGUUAUAACCGGCGAUUUCCGAAUGGGGAAACCCAGUGUGUUUCGACACACUAUCAUUAACUGAAUCCAUAGGUUAAUGAGGCGAACCGGGGGAACUGAAACAUCUAAGUACCCCGAGGAAAAGAAAUCAACCGAGAUUCCCCCAGUAGCGGCGAGCGAACGGGGAGCAGCCCAGAGCCUGAAUCAGUGUGUGUGUUAGUGGAAGCGUCUGGAAAGGCGCGCGAUACAGGGUGACAGCCCCGUACACAAAAAUGCACAUACUGUGAGCUCGAUGAGUAGGGCGGGACACGUGGUAUCCUGUCUGAAUAUGGGGGGACCAUCCUCCAAGGCUAAAUACUCCUGACUGACCGAUAGUGAACCAGUACCGUGAGGGAAAGGCGAAAAGAACCCCGGCGAGGGGAGUGAAAAAGAACCUGAAACCGUGUACGUACAAGCAGUGGGAGCCUCUUAAUGGGGUGACUGCGUACCUUUUGUAUAAUGGGUCAGCGACUUAUAUUCUGUAGCAAGGUUAACCGAAUAGGGGAGCCGAAGGGAAACCGAGUCUUAACUGGGCGUUAAGUUGCAGGGUAUAGACCCGAAACCCGGUGAUCUAGCCAUGGGCAGGUUGAAGGUUGGGUAACACUAACUGGAGGACCGAACCGACUAAUGUUGAAAAAUUAGCGGAUGACUUGUGGCUGGGGGUGAAAGGCCAAUCAAACCGGGAGAUAGCUGGUUCUCCCCGAAAGCUAUUUAGGUAGCGCCUCGUGAAUUCAUCUCCGGGGGUAGAGCACUGUUUCGGCAAGGGGGUCAUCCCGACUUACCAACCCGAUGCAAACUGCGAAUACCGGAGAAUGUUAUCACGGGAGACACACGGCGGGUGCUAACGUCCGUCGUGAAGAGGGAAACAACCCAGACCGCCAGCUAAGGUCCCAAAGUCAUGGUUAAGUGGGAAACGAUGUGGGAAGGCCCAGACAGCCAGGAUGUUGGCUUAGAAGCAGCCAUCAUUUAAAGAAAGCGUAAUAGCUCACUGGUCGAGUCGGCCUGCGCGGAAGAUGUAACGGGGCUAAACCAUGCACCGAAGCUGCGGCAGCGACACUAUGUGUUGUUGGGUAGGGGAGCGUUCUGUAAGCCUGCGAAGGUGUACUGUGAGGUAUGCUGGAGGUAUCAGAAGUGCGAAUGCUGACAUAAGUAACGAUAAAGCGGGUGAAAAGCCCGCUCGCCGGAAGACCAAGGGUUCCUGUCCAACGUUAAUCGGGGCAGGGUGAGUCGACCCCUAAGGCGAGGCCGAAAGGCGUAGUCGAUGGGAAACAGGUUAAUAUUCCUGUACUUGGUGUUACUGCGAAGGGGGGACGGAGAAGGCUAUGUUGGCCGGGCGACGGUUGUCCCGGUUUAAGCGUGUAGGCUGGUUUUCCAGGCAAAUCCGGAAAAUCAAGGCUGAGGCGUGAUGACGAGGCACUACGGUGCUGAAGCAACAAAUGCCCUGCUUCCAGGAAAAGCCUCUAAGCAUCAGGUAACAUCAAAUCGUACCCCAAACCGACACAGGUGGUCAGGUAGAGAAUACCAAGGCGCUUGAGAGAACUCGGGUGAAGGAACUAGGCAAAAUGGUGCCGUAACUUCGGGAGAAGGCACGCUGAUAUGUAGGUGAAGUCCCUUGCGGAUGGAGCUGAAAUCAGUCGAAGAUACCAGCUGGCUGCAACUGUUUAUUAAAAACACAGCACUGUGCAAACACGAAAGUGGACGUAUACGGUGUGACGCCUGCCCGGUGCCGGAAGGUUAAUUGAUGGGGUUAGCGGUAACGCGAAGCUCUUGAUCGAAGCCCCGGUAAACGGCGGCCGUAACUAUAACGGUCCUAAGGUAGCGAAAUUCCUUGUCGGGUAAGUUCCGACCUGCACGAAUGGCGUAAUGAUGGCCAGGCUGUCUCCACCCGAGACUCAGUGAAAUUGAACUCGCUGUGAAGAUGCAGUGUACCCGCGGCAAGACGGAAAGACCCCGUGAACCUUUACUAUAGCUUGACACUGAACAUUGAGCCUUGAUGUGUAGGAUAGGUGGGAGGCUUUGAAGUGUGGACGCCAGUCUGCAUGGAGCCGGCCUUGAAAUACCACCCUUUAAUGUUUGAUGUUCUAACGUUGGCCCCUGAUCGGGGUUGCGGACAGUGUCUGGUGGGUAGUUUGACUGGGGCGGUCUCCUCCUAAAGAGUAACGGAGGAGCACGAAGGUUGGCUAAUCCUGGUCGGACAUCAGGAGGUUAGUGCAAUGGCAUAAGCCAGCUUGACUGCGAGCGUGACGGCGCGAGCAGGUGCGAAAGCAGGUCAUAGUGAUCCGGUGGUUCUGAAUGGAAGGGCCAUCGCUCAACGGAUAAAAGGUACUCCGGGGAUAACAGGCUGAUACCGCCCAAGAGUUCAUAUCGACGGCGGUGUUUGGCACCUCGAUGUCGGCUCAUCACAUCCUGGGGCUGAAGUAGGUCCCAAGGGUAUGGCUGUUCGCCAUUUAAAGUGGUACGCGAGCUGGGUUUAGAACGUCGUGAGACAGUUCGGUCCCUAUCUGCCGUGGGCGCUGGAGAACUGAGGGGGGCUGCUCCUAGUACGAGAGGACCGGAGUGGACGCAUCACUGGUGUUCGGGUUGUCAUGCCAAUGGCACUGCCCGGUAGCUAAAUGCGGAAGAGAUAAGUGCUGAAAGCAUCUAAGCACGAAACUUGCCCCGAGAUGAGUUCUCCCUGACUC